rnacentral:rRNA from 1 species
CACGUAGGGUGCGAGCGUUAAUCGGAAUUACUGGGCGUAAAGGGUGCGCAGGCGGCCCGGCAAGUCGGUGGUGAAAGCCCCGAGCUUAACUUGGGAAUUGCGCUCGAAACUACGUGGCUGGAGUGUGGCAGAGGAAGGUGGAAUUCCACGUGUAGCGGUGAAAUGCGUAGAGAUGUGGAGGAACACCAAUGGCGAAGGCAGCCUUCUGGGCCAACACUGACGCUCAUGCACGAAAGCGUGGGGAGCAAACAGG